AGUGAACGCUGGCGGCAGGCCUAACACAUGCAAGUCGAGCGGCAGCGCGGGGGCGAACCCUCGGCGGCGAGCGGCGGACGGGUGAGGAAUGCAUCGGAAUCUACCUCGUUGUGGGGGAGUAACUUCGGGAAACCGGGACUAAUACCGCAUACGACCUACGGGUGAAAGUGGGGGACCUUCGGGCCUCACGCGAUGAGAUGAGCCGAUGCCGGAUUAGCUAGUUGGCGGGGUAAAGGCCCGACCAAGGCGACGAUCCGUAGCUGGUCUGAGAGGAUGAUCAGCCACACUGGAACUGAGACACGGUCCAGACUCCUACGGGAGGCAGCAGUGGGGAAUAUUGGACAAUGGGCGCAAGCCUGAUCCAGCCAUGCCGCGUGUGUGAAGAAGGCCUCGGUUGUAAG
rnacentral:rRNA from 1 species